rnacentral:rRNA from 1 species
UUAGAUACCCUGGUAGUCCACGCNGUAAACGAUGUCGACUUGGAGGUUGUGCCCUUGAGGCGUGGCUUCCGGAGCUAACGCGUUAAGUCGACCGCCUGGGGAGUACGGCCGCAAGGUUAAAACUCAAAUGAAUUGACGGGGGCCCGCACAAGCGGUGGAGCAUGUGGUUUAAUUCGAUGCAACGCGAAGAACCUUACCUACUCUUGACAUCCAGAGAAUUCGCUAGAGAUAGCUUAGUGCCUUCGGGAACUCUGAGACAGGUGCUGCAUGGCUGUCGUCAGCUCGUGUUGUGAAAUGUUGGGUUAAGUCCCGCAACGAGCGCAACCCUUAUCCUUUGUUGCCAGCGCGUAAUGGCGGGAACUCAAAGGAGACUGCCGGUGAUAAACCGGAGGAAGGUGGGGAUGACGUCAAGUCAUCAUGGCCCUUACGAGUAGGGCUACACACGUGCUACAAUGGCGUAUACAAAGAGAAGCGAACUCGCGAGAGCAAGCGGACCUCAUAAAGUACGUCGUAGUCCGGAUCGGAGUCUGCAACUCGACUCCGUGAAGUCGGAAUCGCUAGUAAUCGUAGAUCAGAAUGCUACGGUGAAUACGUUCCCGGGCCUUGUACACACCGCCCGUCACACCAUGGGAGUGGGUUGCAAAAGAAGUAGGUAGCUUAACCUUCGGGAGGGCGCUUACCACUUUGUGAUUCAUGACUGGGGUGAAGUCGUAACAAGGUA